rnacentral:rRNA from 1 species
ACUCCUACGGGGAGGCAGCAGUGAGGAAUAUUGGUCAAUGGACGCAAGUCUGAACCAGCCAUCCCGCGUGCAGGAAGACGGCCCUAUGGUUGUAACUGCUUUAUACAGGAAGAAACCCUUCUCGUGAGAAGGGCUGACGGUACUGUAGGAAUAAGCACCGGCUAACUCCGUGCCAGCAGCCGCGGUAAUACGGAGGGUGCAAGCGUUAUCCGGAUUUAUUGGGUUUAAAGGGUCCGCAGGCGGAUCGGUAAGUCAGUGGUGAAAGCCUUCAGCUUAACUGGAGAACUGCCAUUGAUACUGCCGAUCUUGAGUCCGGCUGAAGUAGGCGGAAAGUGUGUGGUGUAGCGGUGAAAAUGCAUAGAUAUCACACAGAACACCGAUUGCGAAGGCAGCUUACUAAACCGGUACUGACGCUCAGGGCGAAAAGCGUGGGGAGCGAACAGGAUUAGAUACCCUGGGUAGCGACUGA